rnacentral:rRNA from 1 species
AUUGAACGCUAGCGGGAUGCCUUACACAUGCAAGUCGAACGGAGUGGCGAACGGGUGAGUAAUGUAUCGGAACGUGCCCAGUAGCGGGGGAUAACUACGCGAAAGCGUAGCUAAUACCGCAUACUAUUGGAGCAGCCGAUAUCGGAUUAGCUAGAUGGUGGGGUACAGGCCCACCAAGGCGACGAUCCGUAGCUGGUUUGAGAGGAGGACCAGCCACACUGGGACUGAGACACGGCCCAGACUCCUACGGGAGGCAGCAGUGGGGAAUUUUGGACAAUGGGGGAAACCCUGAUCCAGCCAUCCCGCGUGUGCGAAGAAGGCCUUCGGGUUGUAAAGCACUUUUGGCAGGGAAGCGGUACCAGCAGAAUAAGCACCGGCUAACUACGUGCCAGCAGCCGCGGUAAUUC